AAAUAUUUCAUAAUAUAAGUCUAAAUGGACAGCGCAGAAAUAACAUACAAGCCCGGCAUUGGGAUGUCACUAGUCAUGAGCAUCUACUACAAAUGUCUAAUCACAUCAAGAACUAUAUGGUCGGGAAACGUCACAAGAAUACAUAAGGAAGAAUAAUGGGGGAGAAAGAAGAUCCACGAUCGCUAGGCAGCUACCUUGCUAACUCCGAUGAAACUGCCACCAAGCUCUGAAAUACCUAAAUCUGCAUACAAGGUACAUGGAGUAAUAUGAGUACUCUAAUCCAGUAAGCAAUAAAAGUAAAUAAAUUCUAAGCAGUAAGUAAUCAUGUAUGCCAUAUCAUGGUACCACAGAGGGUACCACAUGUUUCCAAAAAUAGGAUACGAAUCAAACAACUUCGUAAAAAUUCCAUCUUCAGUAAAAUCCUUCGAAAAAUAUCUUUAUAACCCUUACCAUAGAGGUUUAAUGAAACAUAUAUAUAUAUAUAUAUAUAUAUAUGAUGAAAAUCAUAAUCGGCCCCUCGGGCAAAGCAUAGUUUGUAUACAUCCCCUCGGAUUUCAGUAAGUUCAAAAAUACGCCCCUCAGGCAAAGCAUCACUCAUGUACACACACACACACACACACACACACACACACACACACACAUAUAUAUAUAUAUAUAUAUAUAUAUAUAUAUAUAUAUAUAUAAUAUAUAUAUAUAUAGCCCCUCCGGCAAGCCUCUUAGUCAUUCAUAACCUCAACUCUUACCAAUAAGCCUCACACUCAGCACUCACACUCAAUAGGUACCAUAUAUUAAUUGUUGCGGCGUGUAGCCCGAUCCAUAUAUAUAGUCGAAUGUGCUCACUGGGAGGGUGUGCAGACUCCAGAGGUGCUCCUACUACCCAAGCACUAUAUCUAUGCGGUGUGUAGCCCGAUCCAACAUAUCGCUGCAGCGUGCAACCCAAUCCAUAUAUAUAGUCGACCGCGCUCACUAGGGGUGUGCAGACUCCGGAGGGGCUCCUGUAGCCCUAGCACCAUAUUGUUGCAGCAUGUAGCCCGAUCGAUAUAUAUAUAAAUUGUUGCGGCAUGCAACCUGAUCCAUAUAUAUAUAUGAUCCUCACAACCAGGCCCUCGGCCUCUCUCAGUCAUUAACCUUACAACCAUACCCUCGAUCUAUCUCAGUCAUCAAUCUCCCAAUUAAACCCUUGGUCUAUCUCGGUCAUCAACCUCACAAUCACUUAGACCAUCAUUAAAACAGGAAAAUCAGCCCAAACAGUUUAAGAAGCAAAGUGAUAAAACAAAAUUUAAAAAAUAAACAGGUAAAACAUGACCGAGGAUAUGCUUUGAAAACAAAUAGAGUGAGGAAUAAUAGUAAAAAUUCCCCUAAGGGUAUCAACAGAACGGCCCAAGGCUCCAAACAUGGCACACAACCCAAAAUAUCAUCUCAAUUUCUAAAAUAUGGAAUAUCAUAAGAUUACAAAUCAAACACGCGACUUAACAGUUAUACGGGAUGGACCAAGUCACAAUGCCUAACACUACAGGACUCCAUGCUUGUCAUCUAGCUUGUACGUCACCUCAAAGUAGCACAAUGAUGUGAAACCCGGAGGUUUCAAACCCUCAAGACAACAUUUACAAUUAUUACUUAUCUCGAUCCGGUCCAAACUCUAGGUCACGAAUUAACUUUAAAUUGCCUCAAAUCUAUCAAAAAUCAGAUUGAUAACAUCAAUAUACUCUAAGGGAACAAAGCCCACGUGAAAAUAAUGAAAUUAAAUCAAAAAUCUAGAAAAUGGUAAAACCCAACCUCGGGCCCAUGCCUCGGAAUCCAACAAAAAUCUCAACACUAGAAUCCUUAUCCUUCCAUGAGUUUAUACAUCUAUAAUUUAGCAAAAUAGAACCUCAAAUGGUCUCUCAAAUUCUCAAAAUCCACUCUCCAAUUUCAAGCUCUAAUUUCCCAAUUCUUCCUCUAAUUUCUCACUAAUUUUCAUGAUUAAAUAAUGAAAUAAUCACCAGAAAACACAAGGUAUAAAGCCCAAGUAGUUUACCUCUAUGGAAACACUUGAUCCCCUCUUGAAAUCAUAGCUUGGAGUUCCAAAACUCGCAUAAAAUGAUGUACCAAAUGACUGAAAAUCACGAAGGGGAUCUGAUGCAUUUUCAAUUUUGCGCAAAUAUAAUAUGAAAUUAAACCCCGAGAAAUGUGCAUUUGGUGUUGGAUAGGGUAAGUUUUUUGGGUUUUCUUAUUUCUAACCGUGGUAUUAAGGUAAAUCCUGCACAUAUUAAGGUCAUCGAGGAAAUCCUUGACAUACUUCCAAAUAAGAAAGAAGUUCAAAGGUUAACAGGAAGGAUUGUAGGUUUGGGGAGAUUCAUAUUCAAAUUAUCAAAAAAAUGCUUUAAAUUUUUUUAACCCCUAAAAAGCAGGAUCAGUUUGAAUGGAGUGAAGAACGUCAACAAGCACUCAAAAAUUUGAAAAAUUACUUGUCAAUUCCGCCCUUAUUGGCAAAACCAAAAGCAGGGGAAUGGCUACUUAUUUACCUUGCAAUUUCAGAAGUAGCAGUAAGUGUUGUAUUGAUUUGGGAGGAGAAAGGUAAACAAUCCCCCAUUUAUUAUAUUAGUAAAUCUUUAUUAGAUGUGGAAACACGGUAUCCUCAGUUAGAAAAAGUUGCACUUGCAUUAAUCAUGACAUCUAGGAAAUUGAGACCUUAUUUUUAGUGUCAUCCUAUUGCUGUAAUAACUGUCUACCCUUUACGAAAUAUAUUACAUAAACAUGAGUUAUCAGGAAGAUUGGCUAAGUAGGCUAUAGAGUUAAGUGAAUACGAAAUCACCUAUCAACCUAGGACUGCUAUAAAAUCACAAGUAUUAGCUAAUUUCCUAGUUGAUUUUAGUAAAGAUAUGCAAUUAGAAGAAAAAAAAGAAUUGCAAGUAUUCAAUGGAGCUAACCCCAGGAACUUGGACUUUAUUCGCUGAUGGUUCAUCUAACGUAAAAGGUGCGGCUUUAGGUAUUGUCUCGGUACCACCUAUGGGUGAAACCAUUUGACAAGCCAUUAAAUGUAAUUCCAUGACUAAUAAUGAAGCAAAGUAUGAAGCUGUUAUUGCAGGUCUAGAACUGACACGAGAACUUGGCAUAAAUUAGAUUAUAAUCAUGUAAAGAUAUGCAAAGAGUUACUAGUGUUCAAUGGAGCUAACCUAGGAACAUGGACUUUAUUUGCUGAUGGUUCAUCUAAUGUAAAAGGCGCGAGUUUAGGGAUUUUCUUGGUACCACCUGGGUGAAACCAUUCGUCAAGCCAUUAAAAGUAAUUCCAUGACUAACAACAAAGCAGAGUAUGACGCUGUUAUUGCAGGCCUAGAACUGGCACGAGAACUUGGCCUAAAUCAGAUUAUAAUCAAGAGUGAUUCACAAUUUGUGGUUAAUCAAAUGCUGGGGACUUAUACAGCCAGGGAAACAAGGAUGCAGUAAUACCUAGAAAAGGUACGAAAAUUUAAAGCAAUUUCAAACUUGAAAAGUUACACAAAUACCAAGGGAUGAGAAUAUUGAAGUAGAUUCUUUAGAUAACCUCGCAUCAGUGGCUGAUGUGGCAAUCGAUUCAAACACCUCAAUUAUACAUUUAUUUCAUUCAGUUCUUAACCCUGAUAAAAAUAACGUAAACUUUAAUAAUUUAACUUGGGAUUGGAGAAAUGAAAUUAUUAUUUUUUUGCAGUGUAGUAUCGUGCCUGAAGAUAAGAAGAAAGAACAAGCUCUUCGAAAGUGGGCAGCCCGUUACUGCUUAAUGAAACCUAAUUUAUAUCGCAAAAUGUUUGGAGGACCUCUUGCAAGGUGCCUUAGACCUUCUCAUGGGGGGCAUUGUGUAAAUCACGCGGGAGGAAGGUCAUUGGUAAGAACCCUUAUUAGGAUAGGCUAUUACUAGCCUAAAAUGGAAGAAGAAGCAGAAUAUUUCGUAGCUAAAUGAGAUAAAUGCCAAAAGUACGGCAACAAUAUGCAUAAACCUGCGGAGUUGCUACAUUCCGUAAUCGCGCCAUGGCCAUUUAUGAAAUGGGCAAUAGAUAUCGUUGGUCCAUUACCACAAGCAAAAUGACAGGUAAAAUUGUUGCUCAUACUUAUUGAUUAUGGGUAAAAGCAAGUGCAUUUAAAUAGGUUCGAGAAAAAGAAGUCAAAGAUUUCAUUUGGAGAAAUAUCAUAUAUCGAUUCGGAGUACCAAAGGAGAUUUUGUGUGAUAAUGGCCCUCAAUUUAUAGGAGCUCAAAUCACUAAAAAUUUUCAAAGUUGACAAAUUAAGAGGAUUACGUCAACGCCUUACCACCCAGUGGGAAAUGGGCAAGUAGAAUGAACGAACAAAAUUAUUAUCAACAAUCUAAAGAAGCAGCUACAGGAAUCAAAAGGUAGUUGGCCUGAGGUGUUACCUGGAGCUUUAUGGGCGUACCGUACAGCUGAAAAAUAAGCACGAGAGAAAUAUCAUUUUCAUUAGUUUAUUGAGCCGAGGCACUAAUUCCAGUUGAGAUAGGAGAGCCACGUAGGUUUACACAGGUAACACAAGAAUUUAAUGACGAAGAAAUGCGAGUCAACCUUGACUUACUUGAAGGAAGGAGAGAAGCUGCAUUAAUAAGAAUGGAAGAACAGAAACAAGUCAUAGAACGAUAUUAUAAUUGAAAAGCACGCCUCAGAUUCAUUAAAAUUGGGGACUUUGUGCUUAAAAAGGCUUUUCAAUCUUCAAAGGCAGUUAACGCGGGUAAAUUAAGUCCGACAUAGGAAUGACCCUAUAGAGUUCGGAAUAUAGCAGGAAAGGAAGCAUAUGAAUUGGAGACAAUGGAUGUCAAAGUAUUACCUUCAUAUUGGAAUGUUGUUCAUUUUAAGAGAUAUUACUUCUAAGGAAUACCUACGGUCAGGUAUCACCAUUUUGCGUUUAAUUUUUUGAAUUGUUAAAAUUUAACUAACGAUUUUAGAUGAUAGGGAAAAAUCUAGCCUGUACUAAAUGAUGAGUCACAGCCUGUAAGGCACACGGAAUAACCUAAAAUUUCUAGCCUAGGUUUACAAUUAUUCUGAUAGAAAUUUAAACGGAUUAAGAAGUCUACAUCUAUAAUCGUACCUCCGAGUCCCGUAUGUAUUUCCAUUUCAGGAAAAGGACCAAAUGAGAGAAAUUAUCAAGUGCUAGAGGAUUCAUACUUCAAUACUCAAACACUUGGGGGACUACAUAAUAAAGAAGGUAGAGAAGAUUGAAAAAAAUCAUGCCUGAAAAAGUCAAGUGCAGAGUACUAAAAAUCACAUGAAGUCAUGAGCCAAGGCUAAAGAAAACCUUACUGUAGUUAGGAUAAAAGUUAUGUACUAAAGCAGGUUAUAAAGAAAAACCUUGCAUUUAUUAUUCUAAAACGGGUUAUAAAGAAAAAUCUCGUGUUUAUUAUUUUUUCUUAAAAAUCUGUUACAAGGAAAAAGCAAUCACAGGUAUGGGAGAUGAAAAAAAAAGAUAAAGGAAGUUCAUCUAGAACAGGUUCUAAAUUUCCAUUACCAAAACCACUAUCAAAAGGUUGGUCAAUAGACUCACGAGUGUCGUGGGGAGAGGUUCCAUCAUCAAGAAUGAUAACUAGAGUAACAGUCGGCUCGGUAAGAGAUAGAUGAGGAGAGACUUCAGUCGCGUCAUCGGAGACGAUAUGGCUCCUGGCUCGUGGUCUCGUUGCUAGAGAGACUUCAUCUUCUUCUUUGGAAUCUUCUUCUUCAGCAGCUUUUCUUUUGGAAGAAGAACCCAAGACUAUUUCUUGGGCAAAAGAGGUAUGAGUAUCCAAAGAGUCACGAGAAGCCAUGAUUGCUCCAGCAGUGACCCCUCGAAUACCAAAUCUUGAUUAAAAAGAAGGAUAAAAGUUAGAACAAUAAAAGAAAAUAUUUAUGUACGUACAAGAAAAAAUAAAAAAUAAAAACUUUUACCAUAAGUUUUC
rnacentral:lncRNA from 1 species